rnacentral:lncRNA from 1 species
GUUUUCUUCCGCCGGUGGAAGUGGCACAAUGAUUGAUUUGGUUCAGGUGAGUGGUAUCUGAUUUUAGUUUGUACAAAUGCACGUCUUAGGAGAAAACGCUCGCACAAGGAUGAGGACGCAUAACACACCGUCAUCAGCCGAACAUUACACGAUGUGUUAGCGUAUGCCAAUGUUAGCUUUUUAGCACGGUUUUAUAUACAUGUUGCUGACGUUGCAUACUAGUUAACGAAGAAAAAGAGUAAGAUUCAAUCUUAGCUAACAUCCAAUCCCUACACGUGGUCGUAGGCAAAAAAAAAAUUGUUAUACUCCAAUCAUAUGCAUGCAUUAUUCUAAAUUAUUAAAUGUAUAUAUAACUCAUAAGAAUUAAUCUAUUGAAAUGGUUGCAUCUUAAAUUAUCAAUUCUUCAGUGAUAACGUUGUAAGAGACGAUGCAUUGACACAUGCUUUAUGUUAUAGUGACCUUCGACGAUCAAGGCCACAAAUCUAGGCAUCGAUGAGAAGGCUAAGGCCUUCAACGAUCAUGGGCGUGGGGACCGGAGGCAUUUGUUCGCAAGAUGUUUUGUGCAGGGUACAUAGAUGAAUUUUGAUAUUUGGAUGCGAGGGCAACACCAAUUAUGGCUAACAACACCCAUAUGUCCUUCCCAUUGCCGCCUAUUUCCUAGCCAUCUCUUAUAAGCAUCUAUUGUCGAGUAAUGACGAUGAUGAUGGAUGUCUUCGUGCGACCAAAUGCAUUACCUACACAAGUAGGAGUUGGCAUAUGGAUGUGCUUCAAGCAAACUAGUGUACGAUUUCACAUAAGAGAGAAUGUUAUGCAUUCAUCCAAAGUUUUAAAUGUAUCAUCCCCUAAUGUGAUCUCUACCGAUGCUACUUGCGUUACCGGUGCUCCUCUAUCGGCUGGUUGUGUGUGAUGACACGAGAUGAGAUGGUUGAUACAUCACCGAAAGUCCAUCCCAAAGUGAAAUGUGUCG